rnacentral:rRNA from 1 species
AUGCAGUCAGGGCACGAUCUGAUUGAGUUCUCUCACAUAGCAGCAAUUAUUUUGUAUCUACCUCACCAACACUAUUCAAUUUGUAGAUGGGAUCGAUCUGGUGCAGGAGAAAAACAAAACUUGAGGCGAAGCAUUGGAAAUUGUGUCCAUCGGCAGGAUAGGUGUCAAUUGGUCUUAGUUAGUCUUCGGGGCGGAGUGGAAGAAGGGCGGAGACUCUCGAACGAGGAAAAGGAUCCCUUCGAAAGAAUUGACCGAGGAGCCGUAUGA